GAUGAACGCUGGCGGUAUGCUUAACACAUGCAAGACGAACGGACUCUUCGGAGUUAGUGGCGGACGGGUGAGUAACGCGUGAGAAUCUGGCUUUGGGUUCGGGACAACCACUGGAAACGGUGGCUAAUACCGGAUGUGCCGAGAGGUAAAAGAGAAAUUGCCUGCAGAUGAGCCCGCGUCUGAUUAGCUAGUUGGUGAGGUAAAGGCUCACCAAGGCCGAUCAGUAGCUGGUCUGUGAGGAUGACCAGCCACACUGGGACUGAGACACGGCCCAGACUCCUACGGGAGGCAGCAGUGGGGAAUUUUCCGCAAUGGGCGAAAGCCUGACGGAGCAAUACCGCGUGAGGGAAGAAGGCUCUUGGGUUGUAAACCUCUUUUCUUAGGGAAGAACAAAAUGACGGUACCUAAGGAAUCAGCAUCGGCUAACUCCGUG
rnacentral:rRNA from 1 species